ACUCCUACGGGAGGCAGCAGUGAGGAAUAUUGGACAAUGGGCGGGAGCCUGAUCCAGCCAUGCCGCGUGCAGGAAGACGGCCCUAUGGGUUGUAAACUGCUUUUAUACGGGAAGAAACACUCCCUCGUGAGGGAGCUUGACGGUACCGUAAGAAUAAGGAUCGGCUAACUCCGUGCCAGCAGCCGCGGUAAUACGGAGGAUCCAAGCGUUAUCCGGAAUCAUUGGGUUUAAAGGGUCCGUAGGCGGGACAAUAAGUCAGCGGUGAAAGUCUGUGGCUCAACCAUAGAAUUGCCAUUGAUACUGUUGUUCUUGAGUGUUUAUGAAGUGGUUGGAAUAUGUAGUGUAGCGGUGAAAUGCAUAGAUAUUACAUAGAACACCGAUUGCGAAGGCAGAUCACUAAUAAAAUACUGACGCUGAUGGACGAAAGCGUAGGUAGCGAACAGGAUUAGAUACCCUGGUAGUCUACGCCGUAAACGAUGGUUACUAGCUGUUCGGUCGUAAGACUGAGUGGCUAAGCGAAAGUGAUAAGUAACCCACCUGGGGAGUACGUUCGCAAGAAUGAAACUCAAAGGAAUUGACGGGGGCCCGCACAAGCGGUGGAGCAUGUGGUUUAAUUCGAUGAUACGCGAGGAACCUUACCAGGGCUUAAGUG
rnacentral:rRNA from 1 species